AAUAGAUACCCCGGUAGUCCACGCCGUAAACGAUGGACGCUCGGCGUCUGCGAGCUAUUGACGCUUGUGGGCGCCCAAGCAAACGCGAUAAGCGUCCCGCCUGGGAAGUACGAGCGCAAGCUUAAAACUCAAAGGGAAUUGACGGGGACCCGCACAAGCAGCGGAGCGUGUGGUUUAAUUCGACGCAACGCGCAUGACCUCACCCAGGUUUGACAUGCAGCUGCAAUCUUCUGAAAGGGAGACGCCUUCGAGGGUGCUGCACAGAUGCUGCAUGGCUGUCGUCAGCUCGUGUCGUGAGAUGUUGGGUUCAGUCCCGCAACGAGCGCAACCCCUGCGGCCAGUUACUUGUGUCUGGCCGGACUGCCCUUCGGGGAGGAAGGCGGGGAUGACGUCAAGUCCGCAUGGCUCUUACACCUUGGGGGCCACACGACACGCUACAAUGGGACGGACAAUACGUCGCGAACCGGCAACGGUGAGCAAAUCGCUAACCGUCUCAGUG
rnacentral:rRNA from 1 species